CCUGUGCAAAGAGUCGUUAAGCUGUUCUAGCCAUACUUCCAAAUGACUGGCUUAGCAACUUCAUUGCAUGGAGU
rnacentral:pre_miRNA from 2 species